rnacentral:rRNA from 1 species
UACGUAGGUGGCAAGCGUUGUCCGGAAUUAUUGGGCGUAAAGCGCGCGCAGGCGGUCCUUUAAGUCUGAUGUGAAAGCCCACGGCUCAACCGUGGAGGGUCAUUGGAAACUGGGGGACUUGAGUGCAGGAGAGAAGAGGGGAAUUCCACGUGUAGCGGUGAAAUGCGUAGAGAUGUGGAGGAACCCCAGUGGCGAAGGCGACUCUUUGGCCUGUAACUGACGCUGAGGCGCGAAGGCUAGGGGAGCAAACGGG